UUUGGGCUUUGGUGGUCCCUGCGCACCAGUGGGCACCUUUGGAUACUGGAUGCAACCGGCUGGAGAUGGUAUCUCGGGAUAUCUUCAACCGGGCUGGCUGGCGGUGUUCUAGUCGUCUAGAGGCAUAGAAUCUCUAUGUUUGCUUUACUUCGUUGGCUUAUCCUUGUAUCCACGAUCGUUGAUCGGUGAAUUUGAUGACUUAUUUCUUUAAAACUUUGCAAUAAAAAUGGUUGUGUGCAUCUAUUGAUGCAGAGG
rnacentral:lncRNA from 1 species